GUGGUAGUGGUAGAGGUGGUGGUAGGGGUAGAGGUGGUGAGAUAAAUGACCAAUCAAGUGAUAGAAACGUGUUGUAUAAGAAUUUAGAGGCAAUGUUCAUGUUUGGAAAAACAAACGAUGCAUAUAAAAUACAAAAAGAUGCAUAUAAAAUAACAAACGAUGCAAACAUAAUACCAAACGAUGCAUAUACAAUGCCAAAUAAUACAUACGCAAUUCCAAACGAUUUGAUACAUUAUGUCGUAGCAGAAGGGCCGGGAUUAAUAGGAGGUGAAAUUAACACAUGGCUUUCGUUUUUUGUAUAUACUAAAAAUUUAAAAAAAAAAGAUUUAUAUUACGGGAGUAGUGUAAAAAUAAGAUUACAAGUAGAGCCAGUUGGUUACUUGAAGUCGGUAUACACGUUAAGUCCUUACAGUGCUGAACUUGAAUGUUAUAAUGAUAAUAAUAUAAAAAAGGGAAAGGAAUAUAUAACUACACAAAAUACAUUAUCAACAGAUUCAAACAAUUUAAUUUGUACUAAAUUAAAUGAUAUAGAAGAAAACAUUAAUUACAAAGUUAAGAAUUUAAAAAACGGAUCAUACCAAAUAUCAUAUAAACUUAACAAAGCUGGUAAAAAACGAUUAUACAUAUUUUAUGAUGGUAUUAAUAUUAUUGGUUCUCCAUACGACAUUAUUAUUAAUCAUAGUACAGCAGAUCCUAAGUUUUGUAAAUUAUAUGGAAAAGGUGUAACUAAAUGUUUAGGUACUCCAUUUUUAACAUUCAAAACGAUUGAAUAUAACGAUAUACAGUUAGUUAAAAAAACAGAUGAAUAUAACAAUGAUCAAACAAUUUAUCAGUUCAAUAAUAACAGUAAUGAUACAUCACAACUCGACUUUAACAACAAUACAAAUGCAAAAUUUCAAACAAAUGUAAAUAACCAUAACAAAAUGGAUAGUUACAGUAACAAAAACGAAAUAAAUCAAACAGAUAAUAUCGAAAAAAAUAGUAUAAAAGAAAAACAAGUUCAAUUUUACAAUGUAACAACAGAAAACAAAAAAAAUAAUGAAGAAGAACCUUUUCACAUUAUCAGUGCCUCAAUCGAAGAUGUAACAAAAACUGGAUACGGAUAUGGUAAUGACAUAAACGGGGUAAACGAAGUAAGCAGGGUAAACAAACCGACUGUUAGCGAUAUAAAUCUAAUGAAAAAUAAAUCCUUCGCAGAAAUAGACAAAACACAUAACGAAAAGUAUAAAAACUUUUUGAAAAGUGUAGAGCUUAUAAAUUCAUUUAUUUUAGUUUUAUAUGAUAAAUAUGGAGAAAGAAUAAAAAUAGGAAAUGAUUUGGUUAAAGUAGUUGGUAAAAAAGGCGCAUAUAUAAAAAAUGUAAUUGACAAUAACAACGGUAGUUAUAAAAUAGAAUACAUAUAUUAUUAUAAAAAAGAAAAAAAUAAAAAAAAAAUAAAUCAUGCUAACAAACAAGAGAUAAUAAAUUUUUAUAAAAAUUAUAUUUGCCAAACAAGUAAUUUUAAUCAUAAUAUAAUUAUUGAUCAAUUUGAAAAACAAUUCCCAAAUAUAUAUACACAUUGUGAAAUAUCUAUUUAUAUUAACGAAAUCGAAAUUUCUUUUUCGCCAAUUAAACCAAUCAUAUUAAAUAUUCAUAACAUCAUUGAUUUCUAUAAUAUAUAUGACCAGUAUACAUAUUCUGGUUUAUUAUUGAAAAAUUUUGAAUUAUUAUUAAACACAAAUAACUAUAAAGAAUGUAUGGAUAGAUUAGUUUUAUUUUAUAAUAAUUUUAUCGACCAAAUGGAUAUAAAUACUAGUAAAAUCGAAGAGACAAACAUGGAACGGUUACAACAUUUAAGUGAUUCAUACAAGGACAUAAAAAAGGAAGACUUUUUUUUUCGUAUACCACUAAAUAUAUUUGAUUUGAAAAAAGGUGCUAUAAUUAAAAGUAUGUUACAGUUGGAUUCGGUUAAAAGUGGGAAAACACUUGGUAAGAAUAGCGGUAUGUUCGGUAAGAAUAGCGGUUUGUUCGGUAAGAAUAGCGGUUUGUUCGGUGCGAGUAGCGGUUUGUUCGAUGAUAAUAGCAGCAUGUACGGUGGAAAUAGCGGUUUGUUCGGUGCGAGUAGCGGUUUGUUCGAUGAUAAUAGCAGCAUGUACGGUGGAAAUAGCGGUUUGGUCUGCGUUAACAACGUACCAACAACCCAUUUAUUCCAAUUCCAAGAACACACAAAUGAAAAAGAUGCACUAUUUAUUAAUGAGUGGUUAUACAUGUACUCACAUAAAAAUAAAAUUACCAAUUUAGACAAUAAAUAUGAAUUGAGUACCAGUUUGGCAUAUUCACUAAGCAACAUUAUUUUACAACACCUUUUAUAUAUAAAGAAAUAUACUUAUUUUAUAAAUUCAACAGAAUACGAAAAUGAGUUAUUACAACAUAAUAUUAUCGAUAAAUUAAAAAAAAUUUUAGAAGAUGAAUAUAAUAAAAUGUUUACUUAUCAAACUAGAGCUAUUAUAAACUAUUGUUCCAAAAUUGGAAAAGCACAAUUUGAAAGUUUUGAAGCAUUAUUAAAUGUAUAUAAAAACAUAUCAUUUGAAUUGAAAAAAUUAAGAUUAAAUGAUUUGGCUUAUGCGUUUGAUAAAUGCUGUGAAAAUAUGUGUGAAGAACUGUAUCUAAAAAAUAUCGAAUCUAGUUUAAAUAAAAAAGAAAAACUUUUAAAUAAAUACGAAUCGAUAAUAAACGAAAAAGUAGAAAAAAUAAAUGAACUGAAACAAGAAAUAAAAAAAUAUGAUCAAACGGAUAAAAAUGUUGAUAUCGAUAAAAUAGGGGAAUUGUUUUCUGUUAAAAUAAACAAAAGUGUGCAAACAGGUGAUUAUCUUUCUUAUAGAAAUGGUUUUUUAUCUUCAUUGCUUCAGUCGAGAGAAGUCGCAAAUGGUGGUGCGAGUAAAGACAUAAGUAGUGAUGUGAGUAAAGACGCAAAUACAGAUGUGAAUAAAGACGCAAAUACAGAUGUGAAUAAAAACAAACCUAUAGAAAACAAUCAAAAUAAAGACAUACAAGAAAAAAUAAACAAAUUAGUUAAAACAUACUGGAGAAACGCAUCUCCACGUGAUAUAUAUUUUACUAUGCAAAAUAUACUGAAAAAUAGCCCAAGGUUAAAAGUAACAUUAGAUGAAGUUUUCAACUAUUAUAGUUGUAGUUAUGAUAAUAAUAAUAAUAAUAAUAAAAAAAAUAUAACUGAUAUAUACAUGAAAAGAUUUGAACAACUGAGUGAAGCAAAAAAUUUGAAUAAAUUAAAAAAAAAUGAAUCAAUAGAAGGUCAACUAUUAUUAAUUCAUAGUAAUAACAACAAUAAUAAUAGAGAACAACUGAAUAAUGCUUGUUUAACUUAUAAUGCUUAUAUUUCAUUCAUUGUAGAUAUAAAUUGUAAUCAUUAUUUUAUAAAAAAUAUAGAGGAUGUGUUAUGGUUGUUUGAAAAGUUUUCAAUAGAGCCUUUAUCAAAUAAAAAGUUAUACAAUCCUUAUGGGUAUUUACGAGUUUUACCAAAAUACUUAUACAUACCAUUUAUACGAGAACUAGCAUAUAUUAAUUUAUUGUAUAUUAUAGCAGAAUUUAUUGUUCAAAAAAAACAAGAUGCCAAAUUAUAUUUAGAUAUUAAUCAUCCUUCUAGAUUAUCUGCUUUUUAUUAUUUUGUCAAAAACCAUUUUAUUGAUUUUUAUGAAAAAUUAAAUCAACUACAAAACUUUCAAAAUUAUAAACAAAAAUUAAUCGAUAAAAAUGUAAAAGAUCUUAAAAUACAAACAACUGUAGAUAUAGAAAACACUAUACAUAGUAUCAGUUAUAAAAACUUAGAUUAUUAUUUUACUAACGAAUUACCACUUGUUGUUAAACAUAAGAAUUUCGUUCAUACAUUUCCUUUAUUGUUUGAUUAUUACUCAGGAUUUUGUAAAACUAUUUCAGGAAAAGUACAUACUACUACACUAAAAAAUGUUAAUGGAAAUAAAAUAAAUGACAAACUUAAUGACAAACGGAAUGACGAAAACACAAAUGAUUCAUUAGAUACGAACAAUAUUAACGAUAAACAUAUUUCUACCACAAUUUUUAUACGUUUUUUGAGAGAAUUUGGUAUUAUUCCUCAUUUUUUUGAUACAAAAAUCGCAAUACAUAUUUUAAAUUCAUUUAUGCAAAAUACAAAAUCAUUAAAUUAUAAAAAUUUUACACAUGCUGUCAUUUUAUCUAUCUGUGAAUGUGUUAAAAAAAAUAUAUUAACACAAUUAAAUUUGUUAAAAAUGAAUAAAAAAAUAAAUUUUAAAUUACAAGCAGAUAAAAUACUUAAUUAUGAUUAUAUUGCUUAUGAAGCGAAGGAGUUGAUUUACUUGUUUGGCUUAGCAGAUAUGCAAAUAGUUAAGUCGAAGAUAAACGCUUGAACUGUAUGUAUAUGUCACUAAUAUAUAUAUAUAUAUAUAUAUAUAUAUUAGUAACCUAUGCCUUACUUCACCCUUAUAAAACUUAAAUGAUUUUUUUUUUUUUUUUUUUAAGUUUUUUUUUUGUUUUCCCACUGGAUUUUAUUUGUCAUGUAUGUUUUUGUACGCUUUUUCAUUUGCCCAUUUGUUUGUUUAUAUAUAUUUAUAUAUGUUUUUUUUUUUUUUUUUUUUUUUUACUACAUACUCUACAAUUUACCUUUUUAUUUGUGUCUGUUUGUACGUACCUCUUUCUCUUAUUUUAACUCUUUUUUACAAAACAUGAACACUUUGAAACUAUUAUGACGCGAAACAAAAACAAAGCAAAGGCUUACCAAUAAAAAAAAAAAAAAAAAUUUAAUCA
rnacentral:lncRNA from 1 species